ensembl:lncRNA
GUGGAGGGGAAUGAAGAGGGGUGAAGAGGAAAGAAGAGGGGUGGAGGAAUGAAGAGGGGUGAAGAGGAAUGAAGAGGGGUGGAGGGGAAUGAAGAGGGGUGAAGAGGAAUGAAGAGGGGUGGAGGGGAAUGAAGAGGGGUGAAGAGGAAUGAAGAGGGGUGAAUAGGAAAGAAGAAGGGUAAGGGAAUGAAGAGGGGUGAAGUGGAAUGAAGAGGGGUGGAAGAGGAAUGAAGAGGGGUGAAGUGGAAUGAAGAGGGGUGAAGAGGAAUGAAGAGGGGUGGAGGGGAAUGAAGAAGGGUGAAGGGGAAUGAAGAGGGGUGAAAAGGAAUGAAGAGGGGUGGAGGGAAAUUAAGAGGGGUGAAGAGGGUUGAAGAAGGUUGAAGAGGGGUGAAGAGGGAUGAAGAGGGGUGAAGAGGGGUGGAGGGGAAUGAAGAAGGGUGAAGGGUGAAGGGGAAUGAAGAGGGGUGAAGAGGAAUGAAGAGGGGUGAAGAGGAAUGAAGAGGGGUGAAGAGGGUUGAAGAAGGUUGAAGAGGGGUGAAGAGGGAUGAAGAGGGGUGAAGAGGGAUGAAGAGGGGUGAAGAGGAAUGAAGAGGGGUGAAGAGGGGUGAGGAAGGCUGAAGAGGAAUGAAGAGGGGUGAAGAGGGGUGAGGAAGGCUGAAGAGGGGUGAAAAGGGGUGAGUGAGGAGAGCUGAAGAGGGCUGAAGAGGAGUGAAGAGGGGUGAGUGAGAAGGGCUGAAGAGGGGUGAGGGUUGAGUGAGGGGAGGGUGAGGUUGUCUGGUUGUCUGGGGGUCAGAGGGGUGAAGGGGGCAGAAGUGGCUAUGGCCAAGGGGAUGGGUGGUAGGGGGUGCAGGGGGUAAAUCAGUUUUCUAAAGUCUCACAGGAAGUCCUGUGGAACAGUGUCUGACAUCCCUUCCUGUUGCGACAGACACAGUUGAUUGGCAGUGCUGCGGUGAUCCCCUCUAAAACCUGUCCUGGAUCAGCCACCGCCGUCCAAAAUAACAAAAUAACUUUAUCGACAUCAGUUGGUUGGUGACAACAGUGCAGACAGAUAAACGGGGCUUCAUGGCAGUGUGAAUGUUGCUCUAGGCUUGGAGCUGAUAGGUGGACUGACGCCCUCAUUUGAGAACUCACAGGGAAUCAGGAAGGGAGAAGCAGAUGUGAUUGGUUUGUAUUGGGAGAGAGGCGGAGACUGGGGAGUGGACAGCACCAAAACAUGUCGGACAGUGAUAGCCGUUUGGGUGGGUAGGGAGUCAAACAGCUGUGUGUGUGUGUGUGUGCGUGCGACAUUGUGUGUAUUUACGACAAUAGUAGGCUGAGUAUAUCUCAAUAAUGAUAUAGGUUGAUCCCAUCGAUCUUGUACUGUGUUGGUCAGCCAUUUGUCACUCUAAGCAUUGUCAUUGUGUAUAUGGAUGUGUACUAUAGAAGUGAGAGUAUGUGUGUGUGUGUCAGUAAAUGUACAUGUGAGAGUAUGUCUAGGUGAGUGUGUGUGUAACCCUGUACAAUGUCUGUGCGAUGCAAGUCCCUGUGUGUAGAGUGGCGGUAGGGGGGUCAGGCUCAGACUGGGAUGAGACUCCGCCUGGGAGAUAGGGGUCAUCCUGGUUUGGGGGCCAGUAGUUGAAGUUGGGAGGUUAUAGCUGGGUUUAGUGGGCAGUAGUUGAAGUUGGGAGGUUACAGUGGGGAUUAGCGGGCAGUAGUUGGAGUUGGGAGGUUAUAGCUGGGUUUUGUGGGCAGUAGGUGAAGUUGGGAGGUUAUAGCUGGGUUUAGUGGGCAGUAGUUGAAGUUGGGAGGUUAAAGUGGGGAUUAGCGGGCAGUAGUUGGAGUUGGGAUGUUAUAGCUGGGUUUAGUGGGCAGUAGUUGAAGUUGGGAGGUUAUAGCUGGGUUUAGUGGGCAGUAGUUGAAGUUGGGAGGUUACAGCUGGGAUUAAUUUUCAGUAGUAGAAGUUGGGAGGUUAUAGCUGGGUUUAGUCGGCAGUAGUUGAAGUUGGGAGGUUACAGUGGGGUUUAGUGGGCAGUAGUUGAAGUUGGGAGGUUAUAGUGGGGAUUAGCGGGCAGUAGUUGGAGUUGGGAGGUUAUAGCUGGGUUUAGUGGGCAGUAGUUGAAGUUGGGAGGUUAUAGCUGGGUUUAGCGGGCAGCAGUUGAUGUUGGGAGGUUAUAGCUGGGUUUAGCGGGCAGUAGUUGAAGUUGGGAGAUUAUAGCUGGGUUUAGUGGGCAGUAGUUGAAGUUGGGAGGUUAUAGCUGGGUUUAGUGGGCAGUAGUUGAAGUUGGGAGGUUAUAGCUGGGUUUAGUGGGCAGUAGUUGAAGUUGGGAGGUUAUAGCUGGGUUUAGCGGGCAAUAGUUGAAGUUGGGAGGUUAUAGCUGGGUUUAAUGGGUAAUAGUUGAAGUUGGGAGGUUAUAGCUGGGUUUAGUCGGCAGUAGUUGAAGUUGGGAGGUUACAGUGGGGUUUAGUGGGUAGUUAAAGUUGGGAGGUUAUAGCUGGGUUUAGUGGGCAAUAGUUGAAGUUGGGAGGUUAUAGCUGGGUUUAGCAGGCAGUAGUUGAAGUUGGGAGGUUACAGCUGGGUUUAGCGGGCAGUAGUUGAAGUUGGGAGGUUAUAGAUGGGUUUAGCGGGCAGUAGUUGAAGUUGGGAGAUUAUAGCUGGGUUUAGUGGGCAGUAGUUGAAGUUGGGAGGUUAUAGCUGGGUUUAGUGGGCAGUAGUUGAAGUUGGGAGGUUAUAGCUGGGCAGUAGUAGAAGUUGGGAGGUUACAGCUGGGUUUAGUGGGCAGUAGUUGAAGUUGGGAGGUUAUAGCUGGGUUUAGCGGGCAGUAGUUGAAGUUGGGAGGUUAUAGCUGGGUUUAGUGGGCAGUAGUUGAAGUUGGGAGGUUACAGCUGGGUUUAGU